UAAGAGCCGCCCAGAGGCCACCUGCCCAGCUGCGGGCUCAGAGUCUGAACCUGGGGUGUCUCCGCCAUGGCCUGGACCCCUCUCCUGCUCCCCCUGCUCACUCUCUGCACAGGCUCUGUGGCCUCCCAGGAGCUGACCCAGUCGGGCCCUUUGUCAGUGGCCCCGGGAGGGACGGCCAGCAUCACCUGCACUGGAGAUUUCCUGGAUAAAAGAUAUACUUCCUGGCACCAGCAGAAGCCCGGCCAGGCCCCUGUGCAGGUCAUUUACAAGGAUAGUGAGCGGCCCUCAGGGAUCCCUGACCGGUUCUCAGGCUCCAGCUCCGGGAAGACUGUAACCCUGACGAUCAGUGGGGCCCGGGCCGAGGACGAGGCGGACUAUUACUGUCAGUCUAGUACCAGUGAUGACAAUCUCACAGUGACACAGGCAGAUGGGGAAGUGGGACAGAAACCCUGUCCCCGUCUGUGUCACACGCUCCUCCAGCCCCAGGAGGACUGUAGGCAAAGCCAUGAGCAGGCCUGGCCCAGGUCUCCCAGCCAAUCUGAGCUCAUGAAGCCCCAGGACCUGGCAGCCUGGGUGCUGAACAACCAAACCCGAGCUGUGGGCACUGAGGAGUCCACCCUGGUCCCUGCUCAGGGCUGA